CCUACGGGUGGCAGCAGUGAGGAAUAUUGGUCAAUGGGCGGGAGCCUGAACCAGCCAAGUCGCGUGAGGGAAGACGGUCCUAUGGAUUGUAAACCUCUUUAGGCGGGGAGCAAUGCCGGGCACGUGUGCCCGGAGGGAGAGUACCCGCAUAAUAAGCAUCGGCUAACUCCGUGCCAGCAGCCGCGGUAAUACGGGGGAUGCGAGCGUUAUCCGGAUUGAUUGGGUUAAAGGGGUGCGUGGGCGGAUUUUUAAGUCAGCGGUAAAUUGUCCGGGCUCAACCCGGGCCGGCCGUUGAAACUGGGGAUCUUGAGUGGGCGAGAAGUAUGCGGAAUGCGAGGUGUAGCGGUGAUAUGCAUAGAUAUCACGCAGAACUCCGAUUGCGAAGGCAGCAUACCGGCGCCCGACUGACGCUGAGGCACGAAAGCGUGGGGAUCGAACAGGAUUAGAUACCCGUGUAGUC
rnacentral:rRNA from 1 species